rnacentral:rRNA from 1 species
GAUGAACGCUGGCGGCGUGCCUAAUACAUGCAAGUCGAGCGAACAGAUUAGGAGCUUGCUCCUCUGACGUUAGCGGCGGACGGGUGAGUAACACGUGGAUAACCUACCUAUAAGACUGGGAUAACUUCGGGAAACCGGAGCUAAUACCGGAUAAUAUAUUGAACCGCAUGGUUCAAUAGUGAAAGACGGUUUUGCUGUCACUUAUCGAUGGAUCCGCGCCGGAUUAGCUAGUUGGUAAGGUAACGGCUUACCAAGGCAACGAUGCGUAGCCGACCUGAGAGGGUGAACUGCGACACAGGAACUGAGACACGAUCCUGACUCCGACGGGAGGCAGCAGUAGGGAAUCGUCUGCGAUGGGCGAAAGCCUGACGGAGCAACGCCGCGUGAGUGAUGAAAGUCUUCGGAUCGUAAAACUCUGUUAUUGUGGAAGAACAAAUGUGUAAGUAACUAUGCACGUCUUGACGGUACCUAAUCAGAAAGCCACGGCUAACUACGUG